rnacentral:rRNA from 1 species
UACGGAGGGUGCAAGCGCUAUCCGGAAUCAUUGGCUUUAAAGGGUCCGCAGGCGGAUUUAUAAGUCAGUGGUGAAAGCCUACAGCUUAACUGUAGAACUGCCAUCGAUACUGUAAGUCUUGAAUUCGGUCGAAGUGGGCGGAAUGUGUAAUGUAGCGGUGAAAUGCAUAGAUAUUACACAGAACACCGAUAGCGAAGGCAGCUCACCUACGUCUGGAUUGACGCUCAGGGACGAAAGCGUGGGGAUCAAACAGGAUUAGAUACCCUGGUAGUCCACGCUGUAAACGAUGAUUACUCGUUUUCGGCGAUAUACAGUCGGAGACUAAGCGAAAGUGAUAAGUAAUCCACCUGGGGAGUACGAUCGCAAGGUUGAAACUCAAAGGAAUUGACGGGGGCCCGCACAAGCGGUGGAGCAUGUGGUUUAAUUCGAUGAUACGCGAGGAACCUCACCAGGGCUUGAAAGUUAGUGAAGAAUGUGGAAACAUGUUCGUCAGCAAUGACACGAAACUAGGUGCUGCAUGGCUGUCGUCAGCUCGUGCCGUGAGGUGUUGGGUUAAGUCCCGCAACGAGCGCAACCCCCAUCUUUAGUGCCAGCGGAUAAUGCCGGGGACUCUAAAGAAACUGCCUACGCAAGUAGUGAGGAAGGCGGGGAAGACGUCAAGUCAUCACGGCCCUUACGUCAUGGGCCACACACGUGCUACAAUGGUCGGUACAGAGGGCAGCUACACGGGUGUCCGGAUGCGAAUCUCUAAAGCCGAUCUCAGUUCGGAUCGGAGUGUGCAACUAGACUAUAUGAAGCUGGAAUCGCUAGUAAUCGCGCAUCAGCCAUGGCGCGGUGAAUACGUUCCCGGGCUU